UCGAAGCCGUUCGCCUACUCGCCAGCCCGAAAGCUUUCCUAUAUUUGAAAAGCACGUGGUUUUUGAACUGACGAGCGACUUUUAAAAGAACUAGAAAGUUUUCGCGUACGAGGAAGUUGGGAACCCCGUUUCUGAAAACGACUACGUGCUUUCAAGUUAAUAUGUUGCUCAAGAAGACAUCAGGAACAGGAAGUUUUUCGAAACAAGGCCUAAUCUCGUCAAAUACGAAGUUUCCAUAAAUGGGUCAGUUGACUUCUUUGUAGCUACGUGUCAAUUAAAGCUUUGAAACAAAAUUGAAGAAUCGGAAAAACCUACAAACUUUUACAUUACUAAUGUCCGUGAUGAAUAAGCACAAUGAAUAACCAUAUACAGUAUUAUUCAGAGAGCAUGUGUUUCAAUAGAAAAUUAUUUACCAUCUUGACAGCGGCCCUUACUUCAAAACCAAGGCAAUGCGAACCGAUUUAUCAACACGUACACAAAUGUCCAUAUGUAAUACAUUCUUAGACCAGUGGAAAAGUCCUCUUAAAAG